GCCAAACAGCUAGCUCAAUUACCCAAUAACUAAACAAUAUAAAUAAAACAAAAUAAGCCUAACACCAAAAAUUAAAUCAUUCUUUUACCUUAGUAUGGGCGACAGAAAAGGUUACACCUGGAGCAAUAGAAAAAAUACCGCAAGGGAAAGCUGAAAGAGAAAUGAAAUAACUUAUAUAAGCACCAAAAAGCAAAGAUUAAAUCUUGUACCUUUCGCAUCAUGAUUUAGCCAGUAUAUCCAAGCAAAGAGACCUUUAGUUUGAAACCCCGAAACCAAGUGAGCUACCCCGAGACAGCCUAUUAAGGGCCAACCCGUCUCUGUGGCAAAAGAGUGGGAAGAGCUCCGGGUAGAGGUGACAGACCUACCGAACUUGGUGAUAGCUGGUUGCCUAAGAAGUGAAUAGAAGUUCAGCCUCGUACUCCCUGAAUCAAAAGAUAUAAAAAGAUAUUAGAGGGAAAUAUAUGAGAGUUAGUUAAAGGGGGUACAGCCCCUUUAACAAAGGACACAACCUUUCCAGGAGGAUAAAGAUCAUAAUACAUAAGACAUCCUGUUCUAGUGGGCCUAAAGGCAGCCAUCUAAACAGAAAGCGUUAAAGCUCAGACAGAAAUAAGUUUAUUAUUCCGACAAGAAAUCUUACUCCCCUAAAUAUUAUUAGGCCAGCCCAUGCCCACAUGGGAGAGACUAUGCUAAAAUGAGUAACAAGAAGGCCAGCCCUUCUCCAAGCACAAGUGUAAGCCAAACCGGACCGACCAUUGGCAAUUAACGAACUCAACCCGAGAGAGUAAUGUGUAUUACAACGAAACCAGGAAGAACCCACAAUUAACCCAUCGUUACCCCCACACUGGCGUGCUAUUAAAGGAAAGACUAAAAGAAGGGAAAGGAACUCGGCAAACACAAGCCUCGCCUGUUUACCAAAAACAUCGCCUCCUGCAACACAACCAAGUAUAGGAGGUCCAGCCUGCCCAGUGACUACAAGUUCAACGGCCGCGGUAUUUUGACCGUGCAAAGGUAGCGCAAUCACUUGUCUCUUAAAUGGAGACCUGUAUGAAUGGCUAAACGAGGGCUUAACUGUCUCCCCCCUCCAGUCAGUGAAAUUGAUCUACCCGUGCAGAAGCGGG
rnacentral:rRNA from 1 species